rnacentral:rRNA from 1 species
UACGGAGGGGGCUAGCGUUGUUCGGAAUUACUGGGCGUAAAGGGCUCGUAGGCGGCCAGCUAAGUCGGACGUGAAAUCCCCAGGCUCAACCUGGGAAUUGCGUCCGAUACUGGAUGGCUUGAAUCCGGGAGAGGGAUGCAGAAUUCCAGGUGUAGCGGUGAAAUGCGUAGAUAUCUGGAGGAACACCGGUGGCGAAGGCGGCAUCCUGGACCGAUAUUGACGCUGAUGCGCGAAAGCCAGGGGAGCAAACGGG